rnacentral:rRNA from 1 species
GCGAGCGGCGGACGGGUGAGUAAGGCUUGGGUAUCUGCCCGGUCGAGGGGGAUAACCGUUGGAAACGACGGCUAAUACCGCAUACGCCCUACGGGGGAAAGCAGGGGACCUUCGGGCCUUGCGCGAUCGGAUGAGCCCAAGUGAGAUUAGCUGGUUGGUGAGGUAAUGGCUCACCAAGGCGACGAUCUCUAGCUGGUCUGAGAGGAUGACCAGCCACACUGGGACUGAGACACGGCCCAGACUCCUACGGGAGGC